rnacentral:pre_miRNA from 1 species
UUAAUACUCCCUCCGUCCCAAAAUUCUUGUCUUAGGUUUGUCUAGAUAUAAAUGUAUCUAGUUACAUUUUAGUAUUUUGAUACAUCCAUUUUUAAACAAACCUAAGACAAGAAUUUUGAGACGGAAGAAGUAGUUU